rnacentral:tRNA from 1 species
AGUUAUUUAGCUUAUUUCAAAGCAUUUACUUUGAAAGUAAAAGAUAGAAGGUUUUUAAUAGCUU